UGCCAGCAGCCGCGGUAAUACGGGAGGGGCAAGCGUUAUCCAGAUUAAUUGGGCGUAAAGGGUUCGUAGGCGGUAAUGUAAGUUAUUUGUUAAAUUUUAAAGCUUAACUUUAAAAUAGCAUUUAAUACUAUUUUACUUAGAGUUUUUUUCAGAAAAGUAGAAUUUUAUAAGAAGGGGUGAUACCUGUAGAGAUAUAAAGGAAUAUCAUUAGCGAAAGCGACUUUUUAGUAAAAACUGACGCUGAGGGACGAAAGUGUAGGUAGCAAACAGGAUUAGAUA
rnacentral:rRNA from 1 species